UACGGAGGGGACUAGCGUUGUUCGGAAUUACUGGGCGUAAAGAGCGCGUAGGCGGAAGCUUAAGUGUGGCCUGAAAGCCCCCGGCUCAACCGGGGAGGGUGGCUGCAAACUGGGCUUCUUGAGGGCGGCAGAGGAGAGUGGAAUUCCUGGUGUAGCGGUGAAAUUCGUAGAUAUUAGGAAGAACACCGGUGGCGAAGGCGGCCCACUGGUCCGGUACUGACGCUGAGGUGCGAAAGCGUGGGGAGCAAACAGG
rnacentral:rRNA from 1 species